rnacentral:rRNA from 1 species
GAUGAACGCUGGCGGCGUGCUUAACACAUGCAAGUCGAACGGUGAAGCAGAGCUUGCUCUGUGGAUCAGUGGCGAACGGGUGAGUAACACGUGAGCAACCUGCCCCUGACUCUGGGAUAAGCGCUGGAAACGGCGUCUAAUACCGGAUAUGAGCUGCGAUCGCAUGGUCAGCAGUUGGAAAGAUUUUUCGGUCUGGGAUGGGCUCACGGCCUAUCAGCUUGUUGGUGAGGUAAUGGCUCACCAAGGCGUCGACGGGUAGCCGGCCUGAGAGGGUGACCGGCCACACUGGGACUGAGACACGGCCCAGACUCCUACGGGAGGCAGCAGUGGGGAAUAUUGCACAAUGGGCGAAAGCCUGAUGCAGCAACGCCGCGUGAGGGAUGACGGCCUUCGGGUUGUAAACCUCUUUUAGCAGGGAAGAAGCGAAAGUGACGGUACCUGCAGAAAAAGCGCCGGCUAACUACGUGCCAGCCGCCGCUGUAACAC